rnacentral:rRNA from 1 species
GAUGAACGCUGGCGGCGUGCUUAACACAUGCAAGUCGAACGAAGCACUUUAUUUGAUUUCCUUCGGGAUUGAUUAUUUUGUGACUGAGUGGCGGACGGGUGAGUAACGCGUGGGUAACCUGCCUUGUACAGGGGGAUAACAGUUGGAAACGGCUGCUAGUACCGCAUAAGCGCACAGCAUCGCAUGAUGCAGUGUGAAAAACUCCGGUGGUAUAAGAUGGACCCGCGUUGGAUUAGCUAGUUGGUGAGGUAACGGCCCACCAAGGCGACGAUCCAUAGCCGACCUGAGAGGGUGACCGGCCACAUUGGGACUGAGACACGGCCCAAACUCCUACGGGAGGCAGCAGUGGGGAAUAUUGCACAAUGGGCGAAAGCCUGAUGCAGCGACGCCGCGUGAGCGAAGAAGUAUUUCGGUAUGUAAAGCUCUAUCAGCAGGGAAGAUAAUGACAGUACCUGACUAAGAAGCA